rnacentral:rRNA from 1 species
UACAGAGGUCCCGAGCGUUGUUCGGAUUCAUUGGGCGUAAAGGGUGCGUAGGCGGCGGGGCAAGUCUGAUGUGAAAUCCCGGGGCUCAACCCCGGAACUGCAUUGGAUACUGCCUUGCUAGAGUACUGGAGAGGGAACUGGAAUUUACGGUGUAGCAGUGAAAUGCGUAGAGAUCGUAAGGAAGGCCAGUGGCGAAGGCGACUACCUGGACCAGCACUGACACUGAGGCACGAAAGCGUGGGGAGCAAACAGG